AAAUGUCUGUCUUGAUAUUAUUGAAAAUAUUAUCAAAACGUUUACUGAAAUUUUCCAUUUAGUGGAAACCUCAUAAGGAAAAGCUUCCAAUAAAAAAUUUUAGUAAAAAGUCGAGAGGUGGGAAAAAGCUCAACAUUGUUCAUGGAAAAUGAAAGAUGAUGACAAUACUGAUAAAUUUUCAUUAAAAUGUGGAUUUUUAAACAGGCUAUUUUUCUAAAAAAUAAUAUUUUCAUUCAGUUUCGUGUGUGUGUUAGGAGCACUGCACAGUUCCCCAGCUAUCAUUCUCACUGUGUAGGUGCAUCUACAUGCCCAAGGGCCUAUUUGUUCUCUAAACAAAGUAGAAGUGGACUCCUUGCUAACCACAAGCAAGCCACAAAGAAAUUCUUAGGUUGAUAGAGGAAGGAAGAGUAGGAUUUUCUUCUACAUCAGGGGUCCAGGAGAAUUAGCUCUGUUUGUCCAGUAUGUGGUUAGUUAUAAAAAAGUCAUUGAAGCACUUCAGUCUGCCUUUGGUUUCCUGGAGAAAUUACCUUCACCCCUAAUUUUUGCUUGGUGCCCUUCACAAAGCACAAUUAUGCCAGUUUUGUGUGGUAGCUUGAAUUUUAGCCGAAGGGCUAAAUCUAAGUUUACAGCCAAUGCCAAUUUUUGAGACGAACAAGAAUAAUUCUAAUGAAUUAGCAAGCUCUGCCUGGUUAAAAACUAUUUUCAGUACUACUUCCUGGAAUCAAUUCUAGUGUGCUUGCCAGUGUUGCGUAAAACAAAGUAUUUGCUUCAGGUCCAAAGAAGAUUAGAGGGCAGGGGGGAACAAAGCAAAUAACUAAGAGCCACAAUGCAAAGCCUCCUGAGAAAAGGUUGACAAAGAGUAGAACAUUUUUCAUAAUGAGGAGCCACCUUACCUUUGCCAUGUUUUGUUUCUGGCAGAUGUCGGUUUAGAAACAAUUAAAUACAUGGGGUUUUGUCUGAGAUAUUCUGAUUAGAUUCCUUUCAUACCUCUGUCACUUCACAUGCAUCACUAGAAGUCUAGUAUCUGGUAAUGUAAAGCCUUUUAUAAAACAUAAUCCUGUAAGUACUGUACAUGUGAGUAGCUUUAGUUGUGUAAGCAGCCCUAUGGCAACACCUUAUUGCCUUCUGCAAAAAAAGAUCAGUGAGAAGUAGCUAUAAAGGAAGAGGGGGAGAAGCAAAGCUUGCCCCCAUCUCCACAGCAUGAUGUCCUAUUAUAGGCUUCUCUUUCUUCAUAGACUCUGCCCGCAAAGGUCCUAGCACCCUGGGAUCUGAAGGAGGUUAGAGAACAAGGCCAUUUAAUGGAGGCCCCUUGCUCCUGGCCUCCAGUGUACCAUACCCUGACAGUGUUGCUCCAGCAGAGUUGAGCUACCUGGCAGUCCCCAACCAUGACUGUCCCUUAAAACUGCCAUUGGUAGACUGGAAGAAGUAAUCUCAAACUAAACUGAUUUACUUUCUACAGCUUUGAAAAGUGACAAUGGAUUUCUUGUUUUAAGUACAAGGAUAAUCUUAUGAACUAGCUGAGUCCUUCAAAAUUAUAGAAGCAGUAAUAAUUAUACCUAACUUUCAAUCUGACUUUAUUCUAGAGUUUUAAAUAAACGUUGUUUCUAUAAAAUAGCUAAAAUCCAAUCUGUGGAUGCACUUUUGUUUUCCCUCAUUCAUGAAUUUUCAACUGAAUUUUCAUAGAGCCUUUACACUUUCUAUCUGCUUAUAUUGUGCUUGUGGUCACUAACGGGCUGUUAAAAAUGUCUAUGGAGUGUAAAGAGGAAGUUGCAAUUCAAGUUUCUAAGUGUUGCACGGCCAACAAUAUCCACCCUAGCAUGAAUCCAGUGGUGAAAAGUAAUUCAGCUGCCAAGCCAUCUUUGUUCUGGGGCUUAGUUCUGGAUCAUACUAUGGGCACUUAAAAUAUGAGCAUACAAAUGUUAAAGCUUGAUGAUAACUCAUGCUAAGUGUGCUCUGAACAUCUCAAAGUUAUACCAUUUCCAAGGGUACUAUCUAGUUCAUGUUAGGAUAACUUCAGCCUGCUUCAUGGAGAUAAAAUGAGCAAUCUACAGUCCUCCAGAAUCCCAGAAUCCAUAGCUCCCAUCCACUCCCCACAACCCAGAGCUGGGAUAGAGCCCAGUUGUCACAUGACUCCUAGCUAGACCCUGCUCAGCUACUCCCUAGUGACAAGUCGAAGCUGUGCAGGCAAGAAACAGUAUUAGCCCUUAAUGUGUGGCAGCUCACAGCACGUUUGAACUUUAACACUGCUUAACGUUCUAUAGAUUUCGUAUCGCCUAAGUGUAACAUACAACUUCACAGAAACAACCAGUGGUGCCAAGCCAUAGGGCAUCAUUUUGGCAUCUUUAUGUGUGGAAAAACCUCAUUGUUGUUGUAUCAUUGUAGCUGGCAACUGAAUAUUGCCCUGUGUGCGGUGGUGUUGGGAUGCUUGCUGAAUUGAAACAAAGUAACUCGGUGCAUUCAUGAUCCCAACAUGUAUUUGGUAUAAUACAGGGCUGUCCAACUGGAAGGGUUAGUUUCUGGCCCCUGGGCUCCCACCUGGCCACUGCUCCUGUCAUUGUUUUGUCUUCAAUAUCAGUCAGGGGCUCUUGACUUCCCCUCUGUCUUUUGGCUUCCACUUCCUGUCUCCACUCUAGGGGGUGGAGAAGCAUGGCACACCCUGCAGUGCUGGGGGAGCCCACAGUUCAGGGCAGCUCUGUGGCCAGUGCAGUGAGAGACAGCCCACAGCUAGGGAGCUGAAGGCAAGCCCAGAAGACCCAGUGCAUGCACAGUGCAGCAGGAAGAAGCAUGCAUGGUGUGACAAGGACAUGCACCUGCCCGCAGAGCACAAUGAGAAAGAGAGAGCCCACGCAACCAGAGGGCCUCUGGUACGUGUUGCUGUGCCUCUGCUGUUGGUGGCCCAUGAGAUGGCAGGCCCUGGCCAGUUAUAAGUUGGACAUUUGUAGUAUAGUGUGAGAUUCACUGGCUGGAUCUACUUUGUCACCCACCAUCCCCAGAUCCUAGGUGCCUGAGACUUAAGAGCUUCUGUCAACCCAAAGGAAUUGUAAUGUCUAUUCUUUGGUUGAUAGUGUUACUAAAAUAUUUUUGGAAUUUGCUGUAAGAGAUUUUUGUCAGUCUUUUGUGAAAUGUGAUAGUAAUUCAUUAGAAAAAUGCAACUGACACAUUUACUCUCUGGCUUUUUCCAGAAAGCUCAAGCAUGUGUUGCUGGACUUUUACCUUUUCCUUUGGCAUGCAAUAAACACAUUCCAUAACACUUGGAUAAAUACACUUCAUGAAUGACUAUCCAAAGAUCGCAUGUUACGGUAACCACAGAAAAUGUAUAAAGAGCAGAGACGAUGUUGGCAUUUUCCCUUGUUUGAAACAUCAGUGGCCAGCAAAUUUUAUAUAUCUUUAUUAUUAUUGCAUGCAUGCAGUGAAUUUCUUAGUCUGUGAAAUUCUUUAAUUGCUCAAUCAGGAUUAACAAGGGUUCAUUAACAUCUGAGAGUAAGUUUACCAUACUCUCCUUCCUUUACUUCCCCAUCUUUUUUAAUAUUCAUACCUUAUGGGCUUAAGCACUUGCAGGGCUUAGGUUAUCUGUUUGUCUUCUGGUUAUCUAUUAGAUUUUAGGAAGGAAGAUAAACUUCGUGUGAUGUAUUUAAUUGGAAAUAUUGUUUUAAUAUUGUUUGCUUAAAACUUUUUCCAUGUCUGACAAAACUGAAAGAACUAAGUGAUUUUAUUUUCAUUCCUUUAAAAAAAAAAAGAACUUUAUUUCUUUUUUAUAUUCUACAUCGUCUUGCAGAUAUACUGUAAUACACAUUUCUAGGGUGGUAAAAACCUUGCAGAAAGCCUUGGUUCCCUUGGAGGUUCAAAUACAAAAAGCUUCCUCUGGGAGCAUCCACACUUAUCAUCUUCUUUCUUCGGUGAGCCUCAGAGCCCUCUCUUCUUGCCACCAAUAAUUUCAGGAGGUUCUAGGGCUGUUUGCUAACAGCACAAUAAAACCCCAGUGUGAGAAGAGGCCUGCCAGCUUUCUAACCAAAUGACUUUGCACUGAACUAUGGCAAGCAUGAUUUGAGAUGCAUUAACACUUGAUUUGUCAAAAAUUGUGCUUGGCAUCAAGAAAGCCUGCCUUGCUGUUUCAGAGGUAGCACGUGUGCAUUUACUUGUAUAAUCAAGACUAUUGCUCUUUAGAACCAAAAAUAUGCAUGAUAUGAGAGUAGUAUCUAAGUGCUUUGACAUUUACAUUUUAUAAAUAUUUCCCAUUACUUACCCAAGGUUCAGAUGGAAAGACUCCAUACCUGGAAAAUAAAGGUUUGGUGUAACAGCACUGUUGUUAAACUAAAGUUUACUGUUGUUUGUAUAUGCAUUUUAAUUGCAAAAAGUCUUGAAGGGACUUUCUACUGCCGGAUUGUUUGUUUCAAAUAAAAGAGUUUCUUGUAUUGAAUAGAUAGCAAACUGUAGGUAAGUGGAUACUAGACACAUCUCUAAAGAGAAACAAAGCAUAUAUAUGCAAUAGAAAACUUAUAAACUGGACUAGCCAUUUCUGGUGCCCUGAGCAGAAGAGUAUAACCAUGGAGGAUGAGAAAUGGGAGAGAGAUUUCAGAAGGGAAAUCUAUGAUGUUCUAAGUCUUUUGGAUCAUCAAGUGAUGCCAGCUGAGGUACAUUUCUUAUGUUAUGGCACUGAUUUUGAAUGUCAUUGGUCUGUGUGCAACCAAAGGAAGGAGGAGACACUGAGUUGCUCUGCAAGAUGGAGUGAGUGAGUAGUGAAUAUUUUAUAGAGGGACACUAAAUGUAAUUUGUAAUUUGUUCAGUAGAAAGGAAAUGAGCCUCCAGCCAUGCCACCCCUGUACCCUGCACAAUGCCUCUUUCAAGUGAGAGCAGCAAACGUUCCAAAAGAGCAAAUGCUUAAAUUAGGACUUGCGUGUAGCUAUGCUGCAUGUGUUUGCCAAGUAUUUGGGACUACAGUUUGCCUAUCUGCUUAAAACCAGAAAGAAUCAUAUUUUAAAGCCUGAAAUAAAGUACCUGCAGUAGAUAACCCUUUCAAGAUUUUCUGUAAAAAGGAUGCAGAAUUGAAAAACAAUAAGCUUUACCAUUAACAACAAUUAUUCUAGCAUUUUCUUUUUCAGAGUUUUGGGGCCUGCUUCUGUAGCCCUUCAGCAUGCUGAAGUCUCAGUGAGAACAGCAGAAGAGACUGAUCAGGUAGUAAAACAAAAAGGAGAAACCACACUACAUAAAUGCCCAGUCACAUUUCACUAUCCUGUGUUUCGUUUAUUUGUAGUGUGUUUUCGGUGUUCAGCCUACACCCAGGCACAGGAUUUAGGCACAGGCGGAGGUAAAGGGAGUCUGAGUGAUGUUAUAUUGGCAAUGAAGAUCACAUUUGUUUUAGUAUUUUUAGAAAAGAUGUAAUAAUUUAAAUAAUAAGCCAGUUUUUCAGCAUCUCAGCUCAAAAAAGAGGUGCCACAAAAAUAAGGAAGUUAGCUUGUAGGACUGCCAUGUGGGGAGUGAGCGCUGACUCAGAUUCUUAGGGUUCAAAACUUCCUUAAGUGGAAUAAAAGCCCAAAUUCCAUUUUCCAGAAUGUCUUUGCUUUUCAAUGGGACUUGGACUCCUACACACCCAAGCCACUUUUGAAAAGGGGUUAUAGACACUUAAGUCUCUUUAGGAGAUUUUGAAAAUAUUCCACUUUUUUUUCCUUAGAGUUACUCUCAGAUAUUUAAACCUUCUAAUUAGAAGGCUUACAAGCUAUUCAUAUUUAAAUUCUGUAGGAAGCAAAAAUGGAAGAAAAGUAAUUGGAGAGUAGAGGUUGAUGGAUGGAAACCAAGUCUGAUUUUUAACAUGUAUUUGCUUGUUUGGAAAACUAUUGUUUUCUUUUCAAGCUAGUGCUAGUUGAAAGAGAUGUCACUUAAAAAUUGCACCUGUUGCACUUGAUUGGUACAUGUUGCCUUCUAUCUAUCCUUUGUUUCACUCAAAUAUGUAUAAACAAAGGCCUCUCAGCUUAUUGAAACUCAGUUUUAGCAGAUUGUUAUGUAGUUAUGUUGACUUUCCUUUUAUAAUGUCAAAGAAUACUUAGAGCAAUAACAUUAACGUUUGAGUGUGCAGCUAAUACGUUUCACAGACAUAAGAGAUUUCUAUUUUUUACUCAUGUCUGUUUCAUAUUUGUUUUAAUAAAACUGUAGCUUUUCUUAAAUGUUACCACAGGUACUCGGCAUUAAUACACUGUCUGUCAUUUGAAUUAGGCUUAAAUUUUAACUCUUACUUCCAUAAAAUUUGCAGCAAAAGUCAUAGAAUACUCAGAGUAAAAUAUUUUUCUUUCAAAAAUCAGACCUUUCAAUAUUUCUUAAAUAAAGAUGAAAAAUAGUCAAGAAAAACCAACUAAUUAGAUUCAGGUACUUUUCUUUUUAUCAAAUAAUAAUAUAUAUAUUUCUACCAUGUAUCUGUUUAAUUUUGUCAGAAAAACAAAAUACACACAUGAGCUAAAUUUGUAAAAACAAAUAUGUUGCAAGAAAAUGAAGUAUUUAUUUUUUAAAAGUGUUAAGAAACCAUUGUCUGUAAAUAAUAAAGAAUUAUAUUUUCCUCCUCAAUAUUACUGUUCAUCAUAUCAAGUGUAUUUUUGUAUAUAAAAUAUAUUGUUCAGAUAUUGUAGAUUUCUCUAUUCAAAGACUUCUGUCUAGAUAGUAUGUUUAGCUAUCAUGCUUUACUGAUACACUUAAUAUUCUAGCUCCCAACAUGCUAUUUAAAAGAAAAACUAUUUUUGAGUCUGCAAAAAACCAAACUGUAUGUUUUACUGAUGUAAAGUUGCUGAAGGUAUGUUAAUAAAUAUUGGUUUCUUUUGUGUCUGAAA